UUAUACCGCACAAAUCAGGCCUUACCCUGCCCCCCGGUAAAAAACGGCCAAUUUGACGAUACCUUCCCGUGGAAGAAAGUGAAGUGCCCACGUCAGCCCAACAAGAGCUCCCAUUAUGGAUAUUGCGUGAUGAAAUUUAUGAAGGAGAUAAUUCUGCACAAUGCUAACACAAUUCCCACGCAGUACUUUGCCGACACAUAUUGCACAGUGUAUUCAUCUGCUCAGAUGGAAGAAAUCGUUGAGGAGUUGGCGAUGGCCUUAUUCUGUCAGUGGGCACAACAUAG